rnacentral:rRNA from 1 species
UUUAAAAACUUGUAUACCGCCAUCUUAAAAAUUUAGCCAAAAAUAUUUUCCAAAAAUAAAUAAAAAAUUAGGUCAAGGGGCCUUUUAUAUUGAAGGAAAAGAUGAAUUACAUUAAAAAAAAUUUAAAGAAUAUAUAUUAUAUAUAUAUAAAUAAGAAUUUAAAAGUAAUAUUUCAACAAUAAUAUAAUAUGAUAAAGAUAAUAAAUGUAUACACAUCGCCC